GCAUAUCAAUAAGCGGAGGAAAAGAAACUAACAAGGAUUCCCCUAGUAACGGCGAGUGAAGCGGGAAGAGCUCAAAUUUAAAAUCUGGUAGCCUUGCGCUGCCCGAGUUGUAGUCUAGAGAAGCAUCAUCCGCGCUGGACCAUGUACAAGUCUCUUGGAACAGAGCGUCAUAGAGGGUGAGAAUCCCGUCCUUGACAUGGACUACCAGUGCUUUGUGUUGUGCUCUCAACGAGUCGAGUUGUUUGGGAAUGCAGCUCAAAAUGGGUGGUAAAUUCCAUCUAAAGCUAAAUAUUGGCGAGAGACCGAUAGCGAACAAGUACCGUGAGGGAAAGAUGAAAAGCACUUUGGAGAGAGAGUUAAACAGUACGUGAAAUUGUUGAAAUGGAAACGCUUGAAGUCAGUCGCGUUCUCUGGGAUUCAGCCUUGCUUUUGCUUGGUGCAUUUCCUAGUCUACGGGCCAGCAUGAAUUUUGACCGGUGCAAAAAGAUUUGGGGAAUGUGGCACCUCCGGGUGUGUUAUAGCCCCUUGUCACAUACGCCGGUUGGGAUUGAGGUCUUAGUGCACGCUUCGGCUGUGCUUUGAUGCUGGCGUAAUGGCUUUAAACGACCCGUCUUGAAACACGGACCAAGGAGUCUAACAUGUCUGCGAGUGUUUGGGUGCAAAACCCGAGCGCGAAAUGAAAGUGAUAGUUGGGAACCUCUUUAGAGGGGCACCGACGCCCGGACCAGACCUUCUGUGACGGAUCCGAGGUAGAGCAUAUAUGUUGGGACCCGAAAGAUGGUGAACUAUGCCUGCAUAGGGUGAAGCCAGAGGAAACUCUGGUGGAGGCUCGUAGCGAUUCUGACGUGCAAAUCGAUCGUCAAAUGUGGGUAUAGGGGCGAAAGACUAAUCGAACCAUCUAGUAGCUGGUUCCUGCCGA
rnacentral:rRNA from 1 species